UAAAGAGCUCGUAGGCGGUCUGUCACGUCGGCUGUGAAAACCCGAGGCUCAACCUCGGGCCUGCAGUCGAUACGGGCAAACUAGAGUACUGCAGGGGAGACUGGAAUUCCUGGUGUAGCGGUGAAAUGCGCAGAUAUCAGGAGGAACACCGGUGGCGAAGGCGGGUCUCUGGGCAGUAACUGACGCUGAGGAGCGAAAGCGUGGGGAGCGAACAGGAUUAGAUACCCUGGUAGUCCACGCCGUAAACGUUGGGCGCUAGAUGUGGGGCUCAUUCCACGAGUUCCGUGUCGCAGCUAACGCAUUAAGCGCCCCGCCUGGGGAGUACGGCCGCAAGGCUAAAACUCAAAGGAAUUGACGGGGGCCCGCACAAGCGGCGGAGCAUGUUGCUUAAUUCGAUGCAACGCGAAGAACCUUACCUAGGCUUGACAUGCACGGAAAUCUCCCAGAGAUGGGAGGUCCUUUAAAGGGUCGUGCACAGGUGGUGCAUGGUUGUCGUCAGCUCGUGUCGUGAGAUGUUGGGUUAAGUCCCGCAACGAGCGCAACCCUCGUUCUAUGUUGCCAGCACGUGAUGGUGGGGACUCAUAGGAGACUGCCGGGGUCAACUCGGAGGAAGGUGGGGAUGACGUCAAAUCAUCAUGCCCCUUAUGUCUAGGGCUGCAAACAUGCUACAAUGGCCGGUACAAAGGGCUGCGAUACCGCGAGGUGGAGCGAAUCCCAAAAAGCCGGUCUCAGUUCGGAUUGGGGUCUGCAACUCGACCCCAUGAAGUUGGAGUCGCUAG
rnacentral:rRNA from 1 species